rnacentral:rRNA from 1 species
UACGUAGGGUGCAAGCGUUGUCCGGAAUUAUUGGGCGUAAAGAGCUCGUAGGCGGUCUGUCGCGUCUGCUGUGAAAACCCGCGGCUUAACCGUGGGCUUGCAGCCGAUACGGGCAGGCUAGAGUUCGGUAGGGGAGACUGGAAUUCCUGGUGUAGCGGUGAAAUGCGCAGAUAUCAGGAGGAACACCGGUGGCGAAGGCGGGUCUCUGGGCCGAUACUGACGCUGAGGAGCGAAAGCAUGGGGAGCGAACAGG